CCCCGUGGCUGCUUGCACUUUUCCUGAAGGCCAGAGCUGCCUCCGUCGUUAACCCCCAGCAAGGUGAGGCACAGCUCUCUGGCAAGCAGGCAUCCGCCGCUAAUGGCAGGCAAUGAGCAGAGACGGAAAUCCCUGGGACGUGAUUCUCUGAGGCUGGGAAGGCUAGGAAUCCUUUGGAAGCUCACUGUCUGGACCUCCAAGCAGGCUGUCACCAUGGAUCCUCGCUGGGCGACUUCCAGUUCAUCUUUCCCACCAACUGGAAUGAACAUUCUAGAACAUCAUUUCUGUCAGAUCUCUACUGCCAGAGGGAGGGAGAGUCCCAAGCAACCAAGCCAUCGCAAUGACAGAGGCAGGGUGGUGGAGUGUUUCCAUGCUCUGGAAUGGAGACCUGGAUUUGAAGUGGGCUCCCAGAGCGGAGUCACGUCUCAGCUCUGCCUGGGGGCCAAUUCACUGUGUGACCUUGGGCGCAUCAAAGAGACUCCUGUACCUGUCUCCUUGCCAGCAAGAUGAGGGUGUUGGAUCCGGGUUCCUAGCGUGUCUGCCAGCUCGGAUGUUAAGUUCUUCUAUGGUGUGGAUGGGGUCCUGGAGGCAGUGACUACGGCUGAAGUUCUCUCAUUAUCCCCAUGCCAGCGACUGGGACAGUUUCGUAUAUUUCUAAGCGCCCAUCUUUCAAAAAUUCUUCUAUUGUAUAUGAAACGUCAAAAAAAUUGGUUUUUCCUUUUCUCUGGGGCUCACCCCAGCAGCAAGCCGUAAGCCCCACUUACGCUGAUAAGAACCGAACACGCUGACCUCUGGUCAGAUCUGAUGGCAAAGGACGUUUCUCUCAUCACCACCUCUGUUCCCAGGAUCGCCAUCCUCCCACGCUUACAUCCCUUGAUACCUUCCAGGCAAAUGCUGAAUGGUUGAUUAUUUGCCCAGAUGAUUUUAGCAUGCCCUCACUUGGAUUUUGCCUCCAAAGUCUUUUUAUUGAGAAUUUUAAUA